UACGGAGGUGGCAAGCGUUGUUCGGAAUUACUGGGCGUAAAGGGCGCGUAGGCGGCUUGGCAAGUCAGAUGUGAAAGCCCCGAGCUUAACUUGGGAACUGCAUCUGAAACUGCUUAGCUUGAGUCCUGGAGGGGAUAGUGGAAUUCCCAGUGUAGCGGUGAAAUGCGUAGAUAUUGGGAGGAACACCUGCGGCGAAGGCGGCUAUCUGGACAGUGACUGACGCUGAGGCGCGAAAGCUAGGGGAGCGAACGGG
rnacentral:rRNA from 1 species